GACGAACGCUGGCGGCGUGCUUAACGCAUGCAAGUCGAACGGAAAGGCCCUGCUUUUGUGGGGUGCUCGAGUGGCGAACGGGUGAGUAACACGUGAGUAACCUGCCCUUGACUUUGGGAUAACUUCAGGAAACUGGGGCUAAUACCGGAUAGGAGCUCCUGCUGCAUGGUGGUGGUUGGAAAGUUUCGGCGGUUGGGGAUGGACUCGCGGCUUAUCAGCUUGUUGGUGGGGUAGUGGCCUACCAAGGCUUUGACGGGUAGCCGGCCUGAGAGGGUGACCGGCCACAUUGGGACUGAGAUACGGCCCAGACUCCUACGGGAGGCAGCAGUGGGGAAUAUUGCACAAUGGGCGGAAGCCUGAUGCAGCAACGCCGCGUGCGGGAUGACGGCCUUCGGGUUGUAAACCGCUUUCGCCUGUGACGAAGCGUGAGUGACGGUAAUGGGUAAAGAAGCACCGGCUAACUACGUG
rnacentral:rRNA from 1 species